ACAGCAGUAGCCGCGGUAAAACAGAGGGUGCGAGCGUUAAUCGGAUUUACUGGGCGUAAAGCGUGCGUAGGCGGCUUUUUAAGUCGGAUGUGAAAUCCCCGAGCUUAACUUGGGAAUUGCAUUCGAUACUGGGAAGCUAGAGUAUGGGAGAGGAUGGUAGAAUUCCAGGUGUAGCGGUGAAAUGCGUAGAGAUCUGGAGGAAUACCGAUGGCAAAGGCAGCCAUCCGGCCUAAUACUGACGCUGAGGUACGAAAGCAUGGGGAGCAAACAGGAUUAGAUACCCCGGUAGUCCCUGUCUCUUAUAC
rnacentral:rRNA from 1 species